AACGAACGCUGGCGGCGUGGAUAAGACAUGCAAGUCGAACGGGAAUCCGUUUAUAGCAAUAUACGCGGGUUCUAGUGGCGAAAGGGUGCGUAACACGUAGCUAUCUACCUCGAAGUGGGGGAUAUCUCCGAGAAAUCGGAGUUAAUACCGCAUGUGCCCGCGAGGGCAAAGUUGGGGAUCGUAAGACCUGACGCUUUGAGAUGAGGCUGCGGCCUAUCAGGUAGUUGGCGGGGUAAUGGCCCACCAAGCCUAAGACGGGUAGCUGGUCUGAGAGGACGACCAGCCACACUGGAACUGAGACACGGUCCAGACACCUACGGGUGGCAGCAGUCGAGGAUUUUUCUCAAUGGGGGAAACCCUGAAGGAGCGACGCCGCGUGGGGGAUGAAGGUCUUCGGAUUGUAAACCCCUGUCAUCCGGGAACAAUGGUUACGACCUAACACGUCGUGACUUGAUAGUACUGGAAGAGGAAGACGUGGCUAACUCUGUGCCAGCAGCCGCGGUAAAAC
rnacentral:rRNA from 1 species